rnacentral:rRNA from 1 species
AAUGAACGCUGGCGGCGUGCCUAACACAUGCAAGUCGAACGAGAACGGGCUUCGGCCUUAGUACAGUGACGAACGGGUGAGUAACGCGUGGGAAUCUACCCCUUUGUGAGGAAUACCUUCGAGAAAUCGAAGUUAAUACUGCAUAAGCUCCUUCGGGAGGAAAGGUGGCCUAAUUAGCUGCCGCAGAGGGAUGAGCCUGCGUACCAUUAGCUAGUUGGUAGGGUAAUGGCCUACCAAGGCGAGGAUGGUUAGCCGGCCUGAGAGGGUGAUCGGCCACAUUGGGACUGAGACACGGCCCAGACUCCUACGGGAGGCAGCAGUGGGGAAUAUUGCACAAUGGGGGAAACCCUGAUGCAGCAACGCCGCGUGAGUGAUGACGGCCUUCGGGUUGUAAAGCUCUGUCUUCAGGGACGAUAAUGACGGUACCUGAGGAGGAAGCCACGGCUAACUACGUGCCAGCAGCCGCCGCGG